rnacentral:rRNA from 1 species
UACGAAGGGAGCUAGCGUUGUUCGGAAUCACUGGGCGUAAAGCGCACGUAGGCGGAUUUGUAAGUCAGGGGUGAAAUCCCGGGGCUCAACCUCGGAACUGCCUUUGAUACUGCAAAUCUCGAGUCCGAUAGAGGUGGGUGGAAUUCCUAGUGUAGAGGUGAAAUUCGUAGAUAUUAGGAAGAACACCGGUGGCGAAGGCGGCUCACUGGCCCGGUACUGACGCUGAGGCACGAAAGCGUGGGGAGCAAACAGGG